AAAUUGAAGAGUUUGAUCAUGGCUCAGAUUGAACGCUGGCGGCAGGCCUAACACAUGCAAGUCGAGCGGUAGCACAGAGAGCUUGCUCUCGGGUGACGAGCGGCGGACGGGUGAGUAAUGUCUGGGAAACUGCCUGAUGGAGGGGGGAUAACUACUGGAAACGGUAGCUAAUACCGCAUAAUGUCGCAAGACCAAAGUGGGGGACCUUCGGGCCUCAUGCCAUCAGAUGUGCCCAGAUGGGAUUAGCUAGUAGGUGGGGUAAUGGCUCACCUAGGCGACGAUCCCUAGCUGGUCUGAGAGGAUGACCAGCCACACUGGAACUGAGACACGGUCCAGACUCCUACGGGAGGCAGCAGUGGGGAAUAUUGCACAAUGGGCGCAAGCCUGAUGCAGCCAUGCCGCGUGUGUGAAGAAGGCCUUCGGGUUGUAAAGCACUUUCAGCGGGGAGGAAGGCGGUGAGGUUAAUAACCUCAUCGAUUGACGUUACCCGCAGAAGAAGCACCGGCUAACUCCGUGCCAGCAGCCGCGGUAAUACGGAGGGUGCAAGCGUUAAUCGGAAUUACUGGGCGUAAAGCGCACGCAGGCGGUCUGUCAAGUCGGAUGUGAAAUCCCCGGGCUCAACCUGGGAACUGCAUUCGAAACUGGCAGGCUAGAGUCUUGUAGAGGGGGGUAGAAUUCCAGGUGUAGCGGUGAAAUGCGUAGAGAUCUGGAGGAAUACCGGUGGCGAAGGCGGCCCCCUGGACAAAGACUGACGCUCAGGUGCGAAAGCGUGGGGAGCAAACAGGAUUAGAUACCCUGGUAGUCCACGCCGUAAACGAUGUCGAUUUGGAGGUUGUGCCCUUGAGGCGUGGCUUCCGGAGCUAACGCGUUAAAUCGACCGCCUGGGGAGUACGGCCGCAAGGUUAAAACUCAAAUGAAUUGACGGGGGCCCGCACAAGCGGUGGAGCAUGUGGUUUAAUUCGAUGCAACGCGAAGAACCUUACCUGGUCUUGACAUCCACAGAACUUUCCAGAGAUGGAUUGGUGCCUUCGGGAACUGUGAGACAGGUGCUGCAUGGCUGUCGUCAGCUCGUGUUGUGAAAUGUUGGGUUAAGUCCCGCAACGAGCGCAACCCUUAUCCUUUGUUGCCAGCGGUUAGGCCGGGAACUCAAAGGAGACUGCCAGUGAUAAACUGGAGGAAGGUGGGGAUGACGUCAAGUCAUCAUGGCCCUUACGACCAGGGCUACACACGUGCUACAAUGGCAUAUACAAAGAGAAGCGACCUCGCGAGAGCAAGCGGACCUCAUAAAGUAUGUCGUAGUCCGGAUUGGAGUCUGCAACUCGACUCCAUGAAGUCGGAAUCGCUAGUAAUCGUAGAUCAGAAUGCUACGGUGAAUACGUUCCCGGGCCUUGUACACACCGCCCGUCACACCAUGGGAGUGGGUUGCAAAAGAAGUAGGUAGCUUAACCUUCGGGAGGGCGCUUACCACUUUGUGAUUCAUGACUGGGGUGAAGUCGUAACAAGGUAACCGUAGGGGAACCUGCGGUUGGAUCACCUCCUUA
rnacentral:rRNA from 1 species